rnacentral:rRNA from 1 species
CCUACGGGUGGCAGCAGUGGGGAAUAUUGCACAAUGGGGGAAACCCUGAUGCAGCGACGCCGCGUGAGCGAGGAAGUAUCUCGGUAUGUAAAGCUCUAUCAGCAGGGACGAAAAAAGACGGUACCUGACCAAGAAGCCUCGGCUAACUACGUGCGAACAGCCUCGGUAAUACGCAGGGGCCAAGCGUUAUCCGGAUUUACUGGGGGUAACGGGAGCGUAGAGGGCAAGGCAAGCCAGAUGUGAAAGGUCAGGGCUCAACCCUGUACAUGCUUUUGAAACUGGGGGGCUAGAGUGCAGGAGAGGUAGGUGGAAUUCCUGGUGUAGCGGUGAAAUGCGUAGAUAUUAGGAGGAACACCGGUGGCGAAGGCAGCUUACUGGACUGUAACUGACGUUGAGGCUCGAAAGCGUGGGGAGCAAACAGGAUUAGAUACCCUGGUAGUC